AUACGCAGGGGGCUAGCGUUAUCCGGAAUUACUGGGCGUAAAGGGUGCGUAGGUGGUUUCUUAAGUCAGCAGUGAAAGGCUACGGCUCAACCGUAGUAAGCUUUUGAAACUAAGAGCCUUGAGUGCAGGAGAGGAGAGUAGAAUUCCUAGUGUAGCGGUGAAAUGCGUAGAUAUUAGGAGGAAUACCAGUUGCGAAGGCGGCUCUCUGGACUGUAACUGACACUGAGGCACGAAAGCGUGGGGAGCAAACAGGAUUAGAUACCCUGGUAGUCCACGCCGUAAACGAUGAGUACUAGCUGUCGGGGGUUACCCCCCUCGGUGGCGCAGCUAACGCAUUAAGUACUCCGCCUGGGAAGUACGCUCGCAAGAGUGAAACUCAAAUGAAUUGGCGGGG
rnacentral:rRNA from 1 species